rnacentral:rRNA from 1 species
GACGAACGCUGGCGGCGUGCUUAACACAUGCAAGUCGAGUGGUAAGGCCCUUUCGGGGGUACGACGAGCGGCGAACGGGUGAGUAACACGUGGGUGACCUGCCCUCAGCUCUGGGAUAAGCCUGGGAAACUGGGUCUAAUACCGGAUAUGACUCCAUGACGCAUGUUGUGGGGUGGAAAGCCUUGUGCGGCUGAGGAUGGGCCCGCGGCCUAUCAGCUUGUUGGUGGGGUGAGGCCUACCAAGGCGACGACGGGUAGCCGGCCUGAGAGGGCGACCGGCCACACUGGGACUGAGACACGGCCC